CCGAGUUUACAAACUCCCAAACCCUUUGUGAACCUUACCUAUCGUUGCUUCGGCGGGAUCGCCCCGGGCCGGCCCCUUCGCGGGGGCCCUCCGGAGCCAGGCGCCCGCCGGAGAACCCAAACUCUUUGUUUUUUAUGGUUUUCUCCUCUGAGUGGAUUAUAAACAAAUAAAUCA
rnacentral:misc_RNA from 1 species